rnacentral:rRNA from 1 species
UACAGAGGUAGCAAGCGUUGUUCGGAAUGACUGGGUGUAAAGCGCGUGUAGGCGGUUUCGUAAGUUGAAUGUGAAAUCCCCUGGCUUAACCAGGGAACGGCAUUCAAAACUGCGUUACUUGAGUGCGGAAGAGGAAAGUGGAAUUUCUGGUGUAGCGGUAAAAUGCGUAGAUAUCAGAAGGAACACCGGUGGCGAAGGCGACUUUCUGGUCCGCAACUGACGCUGAGACGCGAAAGCUAGGGGAG